rnacentral:tRNA from 1 species
GGGCCCAUAGCUCAGCUGGUAGAGCGCUUCCAUGGCAUGGAAGAGGUCAGCGGUUCGAGCCCGCUUGGGUCCA